rnacentral:rRNA from 1 species
GUUGUAUGGUUAAGUGACUAAGCGUACACGGUGGAUGCCUUGGCAGUCAGAGGCGAUGAAAGACGUAGUAACUUGCGAUAAGCCCAGAUUAGGUAGUAACAACCAUUUGAGUCUGGGAUUUCUGAAUGGGGAAACCCACGUGCAUAAGCACGUAUCCUUACCUGAAUACAUAGGGUAAGGAGGCGAACCGGGGGAACUGAAACAUCUAAGUACCCCGAGGAAAAGAAAUCAACCGAGAUUCCGAAAGUAGCGGCGAGCGAAAUUGGACUAGCCCUUAAGCUUUACACGCGUUAGACGAACGGUCUGGAAAGUCCGACGAUACAGGGUGAUAGUCCCGUAGUUGACGACGUGUGUUCAGUGAAAUCGAGUAGGGCGGGACACGUGAUAUCCUGUCUGAAUAUGGGGGGACCAUCCUCCAAGGCUAAAUACUACUGACUGACCGAUAGUGAACCAGUACCGUGAGGGAAAGGCGAAAAGAACCCCUGUGAGGGGAGUGAAAUAGAACCUGAAACCGUGUACGUACAAGCAGUAGGAGCAGGCUUUGUCCUGUGACUGCGUACCUUUUGUAUAAUGGGUCAGCGACUUAUAUUCAGUGGCAAGGUUAACCAUCUAGGGGAGCCGUAGGGAAACCGAGUCUUAACUGGGCGUUCAGUCUCUGGAUAUAGACCCGAAACCAGGUGAUCUAGCCAUGGGCAGGUUGAAGGUUGAGUAACAUCAACUGGAGGACCGAACCGACUAAUGUUGAAAAAUUAGCGGAUGACUUGUGGCUAGGGGUGAAAGGCCAAUCAAACCUGGAGAUAGCUGGUUCUCCCCGAAAGCUAUUUAGGUAGCGCCUCGGACGAAUACUACUGGGGGUAGAGCACUGUUAAGGCUAGGGGGUCAUCCCGACUUACCAACCCUUUGCAAACUCCGAAUACCAGUAAGUACUAUCCGGGAGACACACGGCGGGUGCUAACGUCCGUCGUGGAGAGGGAAACAACCCAGACCGCCAGCUAAGGUCCCAAAUUACUACUAAGUGGGAAACGAUGUGGGAAGGCUCAGACAGCCAGGAUGUUGGCUUAGAAGCAGCCAUCAUUUAAAGA